CUUGCGUAGUUUACGUGUGUCAGCAGCUAAUGUCGUUGUAAAGUGCCGUGGACGACUAGGUUGGUGCGUUUCGGAUCGCAAACGAUAUUUUUUUCAGGAAGGGACGCUUGAAACAAAACGUGGAUUGGAACCCUUCUUUCCCUUUCACUCGUACCACGGAAUAUUUGUUGUCAAAAAAGCCGAAAUUUAUAAUCUCGAAAUCCCGCGAUUUGGACUUGCCAAAUGCUCAAAUUAUGCUGAAAUCCCGGGAUUUCAGGACCCUGUGGUCCCGGGCUUCGAACCCUAGUAGGUAAUUGUCUACAACCAGCCUUGUAAAAGAAUCACGAUGGUUAUGACAAUAUCGAGAAAGUUUGAUUCACUCGAUUGACUUUGAUUUAUUUGAUCUAAAUCAACUUUUGAGCAGGCAUUUGGUUUGGACUACGAACACCACUCCUGUGAAAAUCUUGGGAGUAAACCCUGAUGACACACUCUAAAAACAGUACUUCACCGCAUAGCUCGCCGUACGCCGACCAUUUCCACGAAUGAUAGCGUGAUCGCUUUUGAUUCGAAAGUAGACCAGGGCGUGGCAAUUUGGAUAUAUGAUUGCCACAAAGAGGCAUACGCAUCCAUCUCUCUUCGGAUCGCAAGCGAUAACCCAAUAAUUCGUGGCGAUGGUUGGCGCACAGCGUGCUAUGCGGUGAAGUUCUGUUUUUAGAGUGCAUAGACUGCACAGAAGUCGCUUAUGUAGUUGACGCAGAGCAGUAGAGAUGGAAAGAGACACGCUUAGAGUUCCACAGCGAAUAUCAAUCACCGUUGCUAAGCCGGAACAAAUGAGCUGCUACACAGCACUUGGAACAUUAGAAGCUAAUUUCCUUACAAAAUGUCAAGAGGUAUACAUGCAGUAACUUGAAGACCUGGCCAGGCAUUUGAACGGCACAUUUCUAGCCAAUAUCGUGCAAUACAGGUAGAAAGGCACUACGUAAUUAGAUAUUGCAAUGUACUGGACACAUCAUUUUUUACUACGGAGUUGUCGCCGGUUAUGGGUUAUGAAGUGGAGGAUAUCCCUUUAAAGGAGCGCUGAGGUGACCCCAAUUUCUUUUUUCGACGCAGCGCGUUCGGCAAGGAAUAACAUGUGAUCAUGUUCUUAAUGGAGACACCUCACAGUGUUAUCAUAAUUUUGAUGUCUGACUGCCUGAAGAGGAGACGCUAUGCUUCAAUAAGUACCCCGUGCGCGCAGUACUUCAGGGGACAUGGUUUCGGCAGACAUGCUAAACUCGAAAAGAAGCCAAAUGUGCCAACGAUUAGCGACGCAUCCUGGUAGUUAGAGGUAGCUCCCAUUGCGGCCGUUAAAAAAUACUUUUCUGGGGAAAAUGCGGCUCCAUCAACCAUGCUAUGCUGUAGGCUCCUCAAAUACCAAAGUGGUCCGGGGCUUUAUUACCUCCACAGCCCUAACACGCCCUUAAGGGUCUUCCGCGCCAGAACAAUCUCCCACAUACCACGAAAGACUUGACGCCUUUUGCUAAGAGCUAGGAAAUAAGGAUGAUAAAGGUGUCUAUCAUGCCAACUGUUCGAUCCAUGCGAAGGUCACGGCGACACAAGAGAAAGUUCAAGAAUUACCUUCAUCAGCUCAUCCACCUUUUCUCUUUUCUUUUGUGACGUGAAAAUUUUUCUAAUUUCGGUUUGGUCGCCAGGUCAACAAUUUACGGUGAAACGAAAUUAUGCAGUACUUCAUGACGAUUCCUGACGCGAUAAGUCUGUGAUUAAGAAACCAUUAGCAAUCAACUGGCUAAAUCCAGAUAGGUUACACGUGUAAGGCUCUAGCUAACAGGUCACUGCAGCGGCUGACGCAUUCUGGCGGGUGCGUGCGAGAUUAUACGGAAACAUAGGGGUACGUACACCUUGCCGGCAGUCUAUCUCGCGAACACGUAAAACUAGUUUGUCGAUCGAGGCAUCUUUCGAAAGCGCUUGAGAAGUUCUACCCGGACCUUAAGCGAUGUCCGAUUCAACGAGAAGAACACAAAUUUAGUAAAUCUGCAAAUUUGAAAAUCAAAUUUUCGCCAGAAUGACGGCGUAUAGAAAACUAAUAUAUGAUCAGAGCCGGGGGAAACGGCAAUCCGAAGAAAGUGCGGUUCGAGAGGAACAAACAAAAAAGCCCAAAUUUCCCAGAGUCCAGCACCGAGCCAUCGAGAGAGCUGAGAGAGCGACGAAGAUUAGCGGUAGAGGCUAAUUCGGCAGCCGGCCCUCAUAGCGAGUCCGUACUCUCAAAUAAUAUAUCACACAACUAAUGGAAUGAAUAAAUAAAUAAACACUUGCAUUUCUUUCACUAAGAUCCCGCAAAGUAGUAAAGGAAUCGCAGAUUGUGACGUUUUCACGUAAAACACUACGGCUUCGACCAGACUGAGCCCGCCCCAUUUUUUUACGCUUUCCGUUACUGUCAAGUGGAAGCAAACACGUGACGGUUAAUGCUCGUUGUGUGUACAUAAUGAGUAAGUGAAAAAUAAGAUAAAAAUUCAGAGGUACACAUGUUCAGUGUACAUGGUAUUGCCCCUCUAGCUUGUCCCAUGUGGGUAACAGAAGUUUCAGAGCUGUGAAAAUGUCCAGAUAUAUUGAUCAUCUUGCACUGCAGUUUGAGCCGACUACACCACCUCACCAACUACACUCUUAGAAAAAAGGGUGGAACAGUUACACAUUUUAGGAGAUAAUGGUUAUCGCAUAUGUUGUGCCUAAAAUGUUGCACAGUUCUACCUGCUACUUACGAAUGAUAGGGCUACCGCUUUUGAUUCGGCGAGCGUGGGGGAGUAUGCCUUCUUGUUGCAAUUUGGAUGUAUGAUAACUGCUUUUAUCACCGUUUUAGACCCUUAUGAGACACUAUGUUGACCUAGGUGGUAACUAUUUUCACACCCUUUUUUCCUGGAGUGUAGCCCAAGGCAAAUCACUGUUCAAGUUUUAUGGAAAAAGCUCAGCGUAGAAGUGUGAAAUUUUCAUUUAUUUUGCAUCGAGCUGCUAAUUGUCGGUACCUGUCGCUGCUGCUUACUAAAAUGUGUUCUCAAUCUGUC